rnacentral:piRNA from 1 species
UGGCACUGUGGAGUGACGUCAGUUUCAGGG